GACGUAGGGUCCAAGCGUUGUCCGGAUUUACUGGGCGUAAAGAGCGCGUAGGCGGCUCGUUAAGUGUGAAGUGAAAUCUCUAGGGCUCAACCCAGAAACUGCUUUACAUACUGGCGAGCUGGAGUGAUGCAGAGGUUUGUGGAAUUCCUGGUGUAACGGUGAAAUGUGUUGAUAUCAGGAGGAACACCGGUGGCGAAGGCGGGUCUCUGGGCCGAUACUGACGCUGAGGAGCGAAAGCGUGGGGAGCGAACAGG
rnacentral:rRNA from 1 species